AGUGAACGCUGGCGGUAGGCCUAACACAUGCAAGUCGAACGGCAGCACAGAGGAGCUUGCUCCUUGGGUGGCGAGUGGCGGACGGGUGAGGAAUGCAUCGGAAUCUACUCUGUCGUGGGGGAUAACGUAGGGAAACUUACGCUAAUACCGCAUACGACCUACGGGUGAAAGCAGGGGACCUUCGGGCCUUGCGCGAUUGAAUGAGCCGAUGUCGGAUUAGCUAGUUGGCGGGGUAAGGCCCACCAAGGCGACGAUUCGUAGCUGGUCUGAGAGGAUGAUCAGCCACACUGGAACUGAGACACGGUCCAGACUCCUACGGGAGGCAGCAGUGGGGAAUAUUGGACAAUGGGCGCAAGCCUGAUCCAGCCAUACCGCGUGGGUGAAGAAGGCCUUCGGGUUGUAAAGCCCUUUUGUUGGGAAAGAAAUCCAGCUGGCUAAUACCCGGUUGGGAUGACGGUACCCAAAGAAUAAGCACCGGCUAACUUCGUGCCAGCAGCCGCAGUAA
rnacentral:rRNA from 1 species